rnacentral:rRNA from 1 species
UGGUGGAGUAAUUUGUCUGGUUAAUUCCGAUAACGAGCGAGAUCUUAGCCUGCUAAAUAGAUCUGAUUCAAUAGAUUCAGAAUCUUCUUAGAGGAACUAGGCAUUCAAGUGCCUGGAAGUGAAAGGCAAUAACA